UGCCUAAUACAUGCAAUUCGAACGAGAUCUUCGGAUCUAGUGGCGCACGGGUGCGUAACGCGUGGGAAUCUACCCUUGGGUUCGGAAUAACAGUUGGAAACGACUGCUAAUACCGGAUGAUGACGAAAGUCCAAAGAUUUAUCGCCCAGGGAUGAGCCCGCGUAGGAUUAGCUAGUUGGUGAGGUAAAGGCUCACCAAGGCUACGAUCCUUAGCUGGUCUGAGAGGAUGAUCAGCCACACUGGGACUGAGACACGGCCCAGACUCCUACGGGAGGCAGCAGUAGGGAAUAUUGGACAAUGGGGGCAACCCUGAUCCAGCAAUGCCGCGUGAGUGAUGAAGGCCUUAGGGUUGUAAAGCUCUUUUACCCGAGAUGAUAAUGACAGUAUCGGGAGAAUAAGCUCCGGCUAACUCCGUGCCAGCAGCCGCGGUAAUACGGAGGGAGCUAGCGUUGUUCGGAAUUACUGGGCGUAAAGCGCACGUAGGCGGCGAUUUAAGUCAGAGGUGAAAGCCCGGGGCUCAACCCCGGAACUGCCUUUGAGACUGGAUUGCUAGAAUCUUGGAGAGGCGGGUGGAAUUCCGAGUGUAGAGGUGAAAUUCGUAGAUAUUCGGAAGAACACCAGUGGCGAAGGCGGCCCGCUGGACAAGUAUUGACGCUGAGGUGCGAAAGCGUGGGGAGCAAACAGG
rnacentral:rRNA from 1 species